rnacentral:rRNA from 1 species
ACCGGCUAACUCCGUGCCAGCAGCCGCGGUAAUACGGAGGGUGCAAGCGUUAUCCGGAUUUAUUGGGUUUAAAGGGUGCGUAGGCGGUUUGAUAAGUCAGCGGUGAAAUAUUUCAGCUUAACUGGAAGGGUGCCGUUGAUACUGUCAGGCUUGAAUUUAGUUGCUGUGGGUGGAAUGUGUGGUGUAGCGGUGAAAUGCAUAGAUAUCACACAGAAUAUCGAUUGCGAAGGCAGCUCACAAAGCUAAUAUUGACGCUGAUGCACGAAAGUGUGGGGAUCAAACAGGAUUAGAUACCCUGGUAGUCCACACUGUAAACGAUGAUAACUCGCUGUCGGCGAUACAUAGUCGGUGGCCAAGCGAAAGCGAUAAGUUAUCCACCUGGGGAGUACGACCGCAAGGUUGAAACUCAAAGGAAUUGACGGGGGCCCGCACAAGCGGAGGAACAUGUGGUUUAAUUCGAUGAUACGCGAGGAACCUUACCCGGGCUUGAAAUGCAAUCGACGGUAGUGGAAACAUUACUUCCAGCAAUGGCGAUUGUGUAGGUGCUGCAUGGUUGUCGUCAGCUCGUGCCGUGAGGUGUCGGCUUAAGUGCCAUAACGAGCGCAACCCUUAUCAUUAGUUACUAACAGGUUACGCUGAGGACUCUAAUGAGACUGCCACCGUAAGGUGUGAGGAAGGUGGGGAUGACGUCAAAUCAGCACGGCCCUUACGUCCGGGGCGACACACGUGUUACAAUGGGGGGUACAGAGGGUCGCUACCUGGUGACAGGAUGCUAAUCUCAUAAAGCCUCUCUCAGUUCGGAUCGGAGUCUGCAACUCGACUCCGUGAAGCUGGAUUCGCUAGUAAUCGCGCAUCAGCCAUGGCGCGGUGAAUACGUUCCCGGGCCUUGUACACACCGCCCGUCAAGCCAUGGAAGCCGGGGGUGCCUGAAGUUCGUGACCGCAAGGAGCGACCUAGGGCAAAACUGGUAACUGGGGCUAAGUCGUAACAAGGUAGCCGUACCGGAAGGUGUGGCUG